GAAAAGAAACGGCGGCCGGCGACUGAAGACCGUAAACAGUGUGAAUUUUGCAGCAGAGCAGAGAAGAAAGAAGGAAGCUAUAGGAAAGGCGUAAUGGCUGAGCCUCCAAAACUAUACGUUAAUAAACCUAAGAAAGCGCAGUUGAAGCAAAUUCAGCAACAACAGGCAUCUUCUCCGACAACGCCGCCGGCGCCGCCGUCAUCGAUGGCGUCGUCAUCUAUGGCGCGCGGUGCGGCUCCACCUCCUCAGCCGCCUAAGGAAUCCUUUAUUCGCCGUUACAAGUACCUAUGGC
rnacentral:misc_RNA from 1 species